rnacentral:misc_RNA from 1 species
AAGUCGUAACAAGGUUUCCGUAGGUAACAGGUUUGCCUACUGAGGCCCGGCAGCGACUCUAAUCAACUUGCCACGGCUGGCACCCACAGGUGUCGGCAACAUCGUUCAAGUGCUGGAAUUAGUGAGUAGUUAGCCACGAAUAUCAGCAGCCGCGUAUUGGUCGCGGUCCACAGAUCAACCAACGAUGCCUAACGAUAGGUGAGAUAUGGUCGGGCUCAGACCCUUUAUCAGGCUCUGACUUCGCGGAACCUGCGGAAGGAUCAUUACCGAGAGACGGGGGUCUAACAGGCCCCACUCUUCACCCUUGUAUAUCUAUCUAUGUUGCUUUGGCGGGCCCCUGAGCUUACCAGCCCGGGCGCCGGUCGAGGGUUACUCGCCCAAGCCCGGUGAGCGCCCGCCAGAAGCCCCCUAGUAUUCUCAUAUUAUGACGUCUGAUAUAAUUAAUAGUUAAAA